rnacentral:lncRNA from 1 species
UUCAUUAUUCAACCCAAUCCUCCAACAAUGUUGUAGGGUACGUUUUAUUAUUAUUAUUAUUUUUGCUGAGGAGGAAACUGAAGUUCAAAAAGGUUAGAGAACUUUUCCAAAGUAACCCAGCCCAAAAGCUCUGGGCUGGAAUUUGAAACAAGUUUGAUCUGACUUCAAAGUCCACAUUCUUAAUAACUAAGUUAUAUUGGCACUCCAAGAAGGUUUAUAGCUGAACCUUCUGAAGGGCAGAGAGUUGAAUUUGUAGGUGACUGGAUUAAUAACCUGGGAAGCGGAGUGGCUCCAUUCUUCACUUUGUGUGAGAGCAGGUGGCACUGAGGUGGCCACUGACAGGCCUGCCACCCGCACACGCUGCUGGCUGCUUGCCCCUUGCCAGUCUGGGACUUUUAGCCAGGCUUCCAGGAAAGUGUAGUUCUGGAUUUGGUCAGGCUGGCAUUCUUCAUUCCUAAAGGGUGCUGAAGUGAGAUGCAGGAAAUCCAAAUAGCUGGAGGAAAAGAGGCAGGAUAUUAGAACUACCUGUUUCUUCCAUACAUACCAGCAUUCUGAAGAUUUCUAGACAAGGAAAUCCUCCAGUUCUUCAACAUACUUCAAGCAUCAGCUUUACUCUUUAGUCAAAGGGGUAUUUUUAAGCCCCACAAUUUGGAUACUAUUGAAUUUACUUACCCUGGAUACUUGAAUAUACAAGGCACUCUAGUGUUCCUAGAAUACACAGAGUUCAGAUUUCUUAGUGAUGAA